ensembl:lncRNA PKD1P6-NPIPP1 PKD1P6-NPIPP1 readthrough
AGAUGUCCCAUAUAUCCAGCAUUCUAGGACAUUCUGUCAGAUGGCACCGGGCUCUGUCCUGUCUGCUGAGGAGGUGGCUUCUCAUCCAGGUCCUGAGCAGGUCUGAGCUGCCGCCCGCUGACCACUGCUGUCGUCCUGCAGGUGGCUGGGAGCCCGAGCCCCACACCUGCCGGGCAGCAGGUGCUGGACAUCGACAGCUGCCUGGACUCGUCCGUGCUGGACAGCUCCUUCCUCACGUUCUCAGGCCUCCACGCUGAGGUUAUCAAUACUCUGGCUGACCAUCGUCAUCGUGGGACUGACUUUGGUGGAAGUCCUUGGUUACUUAUCAUUACUGUGUUUCUGAGAAGUUAUAAAUUUGCCAUCUCCCUCUGCACAACUUACCUUUGGGUUAUCAAUACUCUGGCUGACCAUCGUCAUCGUGGGACUGACUUUGGUGGAAGUCCUUGGUUACUUAUCAUUACUGUGUUUCUGAGAAGUUAUAAAUUUGCCAUCUCCCUCUGCACAACUUACCUUUGUGUGUCUUUCCUGAAGACUAUCUUCCCGUCUC